UUUAAAGCGUUGAAGAGAAGAGUAGAUUUAUAAUGCCUUUUAAAGAGAACUCUGUAUGGUGAAAAUGAGCAAAGGAUAAUAAGUUGAACAUGGUCUCGGAGCUUUGCAUCGAACCUCUUAGGAGCUUAGAGUGCAGCAGGGGCACCUGUUAUAGUGCUAGGAUAUAAUCACAAUGCAUGGUGACGUAUCUGAAAAAAGGUUCAUUUAUAUGAAUAAAAAAGGGUGGUACCACGAAGUUAUACUCUCGUCCCUUAG
rnacentral:ncRNA from 1 species